rnacentral:rRNA from 1 species
UAAAACUUUUAACAACGGAUCUCUUGGUUCUGGCAUCGAUGAAGAACGCAGCGAAAUGCGAUAAGUAAUGUGAAUUGCAGAAUUCAGUGAAUCAUCGAAUCUUUGAACGCACAUUGCGCCCCCUGGUAUUCCGGGGGGCAUGCCUGUUCGAGCGUCAUUU